UUUUGGACAAUGGGCGAAAGCCUGAUCCAGCAAUGCCGCGUGUGGGAAGAAGGCCUUCGGGUUGUAAACCACUUUUGUACGGAACGAAACGGUCUGCUUUGAUACAGUGGGCUAAUGACGGUACCGUAAGAAUAAGCACCGGCUAACUACGUGCCAGCAGCCGCGGUAAUACGUAGGGUGCGAGCGUUAAUCGGAAUUACUGGGCGUAAAGCGUGCGCAGGCGGUUAUAUAAGACAGUUGUGAAAUCCCCGGGCUCAACCUGGGAAUUGCAUCUGUGACUGUAUAGCUAGAGUACGGUAGAGGGGGAUGGAAUUCCGCGUGUAGCAGUGAAAUGCGUAGAUAUGCGGAGGAACACCGAUGGCGAAGGCAAUCCCCUGGACCUGUACUGACGCUCAUCACGAA
rnacentral:rRNA from 1 species